GACGAACGCUGGCGGCGUGCUUAACACAUGCAAGUCGAACGAUGAUGCUGGAGCUUGCUCCAGUUGAUUAGUGGCGAACGGGUGAGUAACACGUGAGCAAUCUGCCCUUGACUCUGGGAUAACUGCGGGAAACUGUAGCUAAUACCGGAUACUUUCACCGGAAGGCAUCUUCUGGUGAUGAAAGAAUUUCGGUCAGGGAUGAGCUCGCGGCCUAUCAGCUUGUUGGUGAGGUAACGGCUCACCAAGGCGACGACGGGUAACCGGCCUGGGAGGGUGACCGGUCACACUGGGACUGGGACACGGCCCAGAGUCCUACGGGAGGCAGCAGUGGGGAAUAUUGCACAAUGGGCGCAAGCCUGAUGCAGCAACGCCGCGUGAGGGAUGAAGGCCUUCGGGUUGUAUACCUCUUUUAGCAGGGAAGAAGCGAAAGUGACGGUACCUGCAGAAAAAGCACCGGCUAACUACGUGCCAGCCGCCGCGGUAA
rnacentral:rRNA from 1 species